rnacentral:rRNA from 1 species
GAAAAAAAUAAUACCAAUAACCAACACCAGUUCUCGUCCGAUCACUGAAGUUAAGCUACAUUGGGCGUGGUCAGUACUUGGAUGAGUGACCAUCUGGGAGAUCACGUGUUGUUGGUG